UUAACCUCCUCAUUACCCUCCUCAUUAAUUAACCUCCUCAUUAAUUCCCCUCCUCUCCCUCCCCAUCUCCCUCUCCAUUUACCUCCCUCUUUCCUCUCCCUCUCCAUUUCUCUCCCCAUCUCCCUUCCUCUCUCCUCCUCCAUCUCCCUCUCCCUCUCCCCGUCUCCAUUCCCCUCCUUUCUCUCCCUCUCCCCGUCUCCAUCUCCCCGCCAUUUCUCUCUCUCCCUCCCCAUCUCCCUCACACUCUCCUCCCCAUCUCCAUCUCCCCCGCCAUUUCUCUCUCCCUCUCCCUCUCUCUCCCUCCAUCUCCAUCUCCCCGUCUCCAUUUCCCUCCUUUCUCUCCCUCUCCCCAUCUCCAUCUCCUUCGCCAUCUCCCCCAUUUCUCUCCCUCGUCUUUCCCUCUCCAUUUCUCUCUCCCUCUCUCCAUCUCCCUCCCUCUCCUCCUCCAUCUCCCCAUCUCCCUCUCCAUUUCUCUGUCUCCAUCUCCCUCUCCCCAUUUCCUUUCCCCUCCUCUCCCUCUCCAUCUCUCUCUCCCUCUCCAUUUCUCUCUCCCUCUCCAUUUCUCUCCCUCUCCAUUUCUCUCCUCCCUCUCUCCUCCCUCUCCUCCAUUUCUCCUCCUCCAUUCCUCCCUCCCCACCACGUGACCCAUCUGGCCCCGCCCCUUUUCCCGCCUUUUCCC
rnacentral:lncRNA from 1 species